rnacentral:rRNA from 1 species
UACAGAGGUCCCAAGCGUUGUUCGGAUUCACUGGGCGUAAAGGGUGCGUAGGUGGCUUGGUAAGUUUGAUGUGAAAUCUCCGGGCUUAACCCGGAAAUGGCAUUGAAUACUAUUGAGCUGGAGGUUUGGAGGGGGGGACUGGAAUUCUCGGUGUAGCAGUGAAAUGCGUAGAUAUCAAGUGGAACACCAGUGGCGAAGGCGAGUCCCUGGACAAACUCCGUGACACUGGAGGCACGAAAGCUAGGGGAGCAAACAGGAUUAGACUAC